rnacentral:lncRNA from 1 species
CUGCCUGGAUACUGUCAUGCUCCCAAGUUGAUGAUAAUGGACUCUGAACUGGACUGUGGCAUAGUUCAGUAGUGGAGUGCUAUCAGUUGGAGCUGCUGCAAAUAUACCUGUAUCCUGGAAUUUCUCCUCUCUCCCAGUAUUGUUGGCUUCGUCACUGAUGAAAUCCCCGAAUGAAUAAACUUAGAAUUAUUAUUUG